GCUUUAAAGAAGUUUCUUGGCCAGGUGCAGUGGCUCACAUCUCUAAUCCCAAGUAGCUGGGACUACAGGCACGCACUACCACAUCUGGCUAACUUUUUGUAUUUUAGUGGAGACAGGGUUUCACCUUGUUGGCCAGGAUGGUCUCGAUCUCCUGACCUCGUGAUCCGCCCACCUUGCCUCCCAAAGUGCUGGGAUUACAGGCAUGAGCCACCGCACCCAGCCUAAAAAACAUACAUAUUUUUUAAGUUUCUAGAAGCUUGGUCCCAUGACAUCUGUAUAAUCUCAUUGGCCAGAACUUGGUCACACAACCAUUCCUGCUGCUGUGGAGCCUUAUGAAGUUAAAAAUCAGGGUUUUAUUAUCAAGAAAGGAAGAGAGACCAGAUAUUGGUGGUCAGUUAGCAUCAUGUGCCAGGACCAGGUAGUGUUUAAUCUUAGAAAUGCAAGGAUGAUUUAAAAUGGGAACAUCCGUUAGUGUAACUCAUUACAUUAGCAAA
rnacentral:lncRNA from 1 species